CACAGAUUUUUGAAUCCUUACAAGAUUCAUGAAAGCUAGUAGCCAGAAAGGGGGCAGUUCUUUUCUAAUUGCAGCAUGAAUUAAAUCUUUAUGCUUUCUCUGUUCUUAGGCUUUAGCUUGGCACAGAAGCCAUUUGGAGCAACAUAUGUCUGGAGCAGCAUUAUCAAUGCGCUUCAAACCCAAGUGGAAGUGAAGAAGCGUCGCCAGAACCUGAAAUGCUAUCAUGACUGUUUUAUUGGUUCAGAUGCAGUGGAUGUUGUCUUUGCCCAUCUUCUACAGAACAAGUAUUUUGGGGAUGUUGAUAUUUCCCGUGCUAAAAUAGUGCGUGUAUGUCAAGCGCUGAUGGAUUACAAAGUAUUUGAGGCUGUUUCAACUAGGGUCUUUGGAAAAGACAAGCGGUCUGUAUUUGAAGACAGCAGCAGUAGCCUCUACAGAUUCACAAAUGUCUCUAACCAAAUGGAAUUUGAUAAAGAUUACCAGCAGUGUACCCCACAAAGACAUGAGAAGAGCAUGUUGUUUGACUCUACUCCUGUCAAACCAGAAAGCUUGGAGGAUCUGUGGGAAAACCUGAGUUUAAAGCCUGCAAAUACCCCUCAAGUAAACGUCUCUGAUAGGUUGUCCCGUCGAGUUAUUAAUGAAGUAUGGCAAGAACAAACAGUUGCUCGCCUGCUGCAGCUUGUAGACCUUCCACUCCUUGAGUCUUUACUUGAGCACCAAGAGAUCAGACCUCAGCUUCCACAACCAAGGAAGGAAACUGGAUAUGUCAUCUCAAGUAACUACCUAGACAGGGAGAUUCUCAAGGCUUUCAGUGACUCACAAACAGAUGAAUGGCUCUCAGCGGCAAUAGAUUGCUUGGAAUAUCUUCCAGAUCAUAUGGUAGUAGAUAUUAGCAGGAACUUGCCUGAUCAACCAGAUAAAGCAGACACAUGGAAAUUACUGCUGUUUGAAAACAUUGGUAGAUACUACAGCCAAAAAAAGGAGCCGCUGUUAAGUCACGCAUCUGAAAUUCAUUCAGGAAUUGCAGAACUAUUGGUGAAUGGGAAGAUGGAGCAAUCUUUAGAAGCUGUUCAACUCUAUUUGAAGCUUCUAGACAGCCAAAUCAGGGAGGAGUUCAGAAGACUACUGUACUUCAUGGCUGUUGCAGCACAUAAUUCUGAGCUCAAACUACAGAAGGAGAGUGACAACAGGAUGGUUGUGAAAAGAACGUUCUCUAAAGCUAUUAUCAACAAUAAAACCUUAUCCAGAGGGAAAACUGACCUCCUGAUCUUGUUCCUUGUGGAUCACCAAAAAGAUGUGUUAAAGAUCCCAGGGACACUGCAUAAAAUGGUCAGCAACAAACUGGUGGCUUUGCAGAAAGGCCAAGAUCCUAGUAAGAUACCAGGCUAUACCUUCUGCCAAAAACUUGAUGAAAGAGAGUAUCGCUCCACUACUGAGAAGACCACAAAAGAUGAGCUGUUAUCUCUACUGAAAGCUAUUGAUGAAGAUUCAAAGCUCUCUGACAAAGAGAGAAAGAGACUGCUAGAACCAGCUGAAAAUGUCUCAGAAUCCUGACAAGCCACAUUCAAGUGAAGAAAAGUUGAGUGGUUUGGAGGAUGGCCAAGUGGAGAGCUUGGACAACCCGGAUCGAUCUAUCAGAAAAAGAAUACAACAGAGUGCUUCAGGGUCACACAGAGAUGAUACUCCAAAGGGUUUGGCGCUUUGUCCUACUCGCUUGUAUGCCCCAGGGCCCAAUUUGAAGCUGCUUCUUCAUCCUUGUCAGUCCCAAGUGCCUGCCAGAGGAAGAAGUCUUAGGCAUUGGUGUGGGACUGGGUCUGGACGUCCUUUGUCACUUGGACGAUGGCCUCUGGGGAAAAAGAAUUUGGAGAAGUGCCGGUUGCACUGGAAGUAGUGAGAAUAAUUAGCUACUACUAGUCCUCCUCGGCCUGUGUCAAUAGAAGAGCUCAUGGAAACAGCUAAGGGAGUAACCAACAUGGCCUUAGCACACGAAAUCGUUGUUAAUGGAGACUUCCAGAUAAAACCAGCUGAAUUACCAGAACACAGGUAAGA